GCCCUCGUAGCCCAACGGUAGAGGCAGGCGGCUUAAACCCGCUGAAGUGCGGGUUCGAAUCCCGCCGGGGGCACCC
rnacentral:tRNA from 1 species